AUUGAACGCUGGCGGCGUGCUUAACACAUGCAAGUCGAACGAGAACGGGUUAUAGCUUGCUAUAAUUGUCAGCUAAGUGGCGCACGGGUGAGUAAUGUAUAGGUAAUAUGCCUCUUACUAAGGGAUAACAAAUGGAAACGUUUGCUAAUACCUUAUACUCCUUAUUAACAGAAGUUAAUAAGGGAAAGAUUUAUUGGUAAGAGAUUAGCCUGUAUUGUAUCAGUUAGUUGGUGGGGUAAUGGCUUACCAAGACUAUGACACAUAACUGGUUUGAGAGGAUGAUCAGUCACGAUGGAACUGAGACACGGUCCAGACUACUACGGGAGGCAGCAGUGGGGAAUAUUGCACCAUGGACGAAAGUCUGAUGCAGCAACGCCGCGUGGAGGAUGACACAUUUCGGUGCGUAAACUCCUUUUAUAUGAGAAGAUAAUGACGGUAUUAUAUGAAUAAGCACCGGCUAACUCCGUGCCAGCCGCCGCCGUAA
rnacentral:rRNA from 1 species